UUUUGGAGGCUGUCCGUCCAGCCUGGCCUCUGAAAGACCCCCAGAGUGGGGAGACCCUCACUCAAGUCUCGGGAUAAGCCGACCCCCCAAUAAUUCAAGAGAGACC
rnacentral:pre_miRNA from 11 species